GAUGGAAAUUGAGAGGCGUAUAUAAACAUGGGUGUAGUAGUGCAGAUGGAAAGUAGCAGAAACAAAUAGAGAGCUAGAAGUGUGUGCAUAUAUAUAUAUAUAUAUCAGAAUGAACUUCACCUGCAUUUGCACCUGCACCUUACUUUCACUUAUUAUGGCUUUGAUCGAAGAAGAAGAAGAAGAAGAAGAGGCUAGAAGUGCGUAAAGGUGCAGGUGCAGGUGCAGGUUUAUUUAUUUUUAGAGAUGCUCAAGGGCAACCGAGUUUAGAGGUAAUUGAGCGCUUUUGAUUGUGCAACUUUGAAUCUAAGAUAUUAAAUUAAAGUAUGUAUGGAUAAGUGCUAGAUUGAAUCCAAGAAGAUAUACACAA